rfam:Candidatus Taylorbacteria bacterium RIFCSPHIGHO2_12_FTLL_45_16 rifcsphigho2_12_scaffold_198, whole genome shotgun sequence.
AACUCGUGCCAGCAGCAGCGGUAAUACGAGUGCCUCGAGCGUUAUCCGGAAUUAUUGGGCGUAAAGGGUGUGUAGGCGGUAGUGUUAGUCUUGUGUUAAAUCUCUUGGCUCAACCGAGAGUCUGCACGGGAAACGGCACAACUAAGAGGAUGGAAGGGGUCUCUGGAACUCAUGGUGUAGCGGUGAAAUGCGUUGAUAUCAUGGGGAACACCAAAAGCGAAGGCAAGAGACUGGCCCGCUCCUGACGCUGAAACACGAAAGCGUGGGUCGCGAAUGGGAUUAGAUACCCCAGUAGUCCACGCCCUAAACGAUGAUCUCUAGAUUUGGGGAGUAUCGACCCUCUCCGAGUCGUAGCAAACGCGUUAAGAGAUCCGCCUGGGUAGUACGGCCGCAAGGUUGAAACUCAAAGGAAUAGACGGGGACUUGCACAAGCGGUGGAACAUGUGGUUCAAUUCGACGCUAAACGAAGAACCUUACCAGGGUUAGAAAUCCAUUCGAAGACUGGCAGAAACGUCAGUCGCCGCAAGGCGGAUGGACAGGUGCUGCAUGGCUGUCGUCAGUUCGUGGUUUGAACAUUCGAACCCUUCUCGAGUAAUCGAGUCGAAAAAAUCAGCUCAUAACGGUGGAGCUCGGUACAGCGUGUGAUAUCAUAUGUUGUAUGAGUAAUACCGUGGGAAGUUUGGAAGUUCCGAUGAUCUUACGCGCGCGUAAGCGCCUUUAUCUUUCCUUAACAGAAAGACAAAGAGAAAUAUUGAUUGGUUGCGUCUUGGGUGACGCAUACAUAUCCAAGUUGGGAAAAAUUCGCAUUGAGCAUUCACUGAAACAGUGUGAAUACCUAGCAUGGAAGUUUUCUAAAUUAAAGACGCUCUGUUACAGAGCAUUGCCAAGGAAUGUUAUCCAUAAGUACAAAGGUAAAUCUUAUGAGUCAUCAUUUUUCCAGUUAAGGCAAUAUUUUAGAAAAUGGAGAUCAAUAUUUUACUGUAAUGGUCAGAAAAUUUUUCCUAAGAAUCUUAUCUUAAGUCCUUUAUCCGUGGCUAUAUGGUACAUGGAUGAUGGAUGUUGGACUGGCAAAAAGUUUGUCAUUUCAACUGAAAGUUUCAAAGGGGAAUAUCUGAUAUAUUUACAGAAUGUGUUAAAGAAACAAUUCGGUUUAGAGACCAACGUCAGUAAAAAUGGAAAAUUGACGAUACUAAAAGUAUCUCAUCUCGUUUUUAUUGAUUUGAUUUCACCUCAUAUUAUACCAAGUAUGAGUUAUAAACUACCAAACCCCGUAACGACUUUUCCGGUAGUGGUGCCGGAAGGAGCGAGCAGUAACAUGCUUGCUAACACGCUGGCCCCAGAAAGUAUAAAUACUUAACUGGGUGAUGGUAUAGUCUAGCUUUUAAAGUAAUUUAAGAGAUUAAUGGAACUGUUCCCUUCAGUGGGGUAACGAACGCAACCCCUGUUGCCUGUUACAAGUGUCAGGCGAGACCGCCCCCACCUAUGCUCCUCUAAACUUUGUUGAUGACAAAGUUUGAGUUGGGAGCUUCGGUGGGCGCAGCAGCCCAAAUUUAGGGCUGCUUGCCCGCCGUAGCUUCCCGAUUUUAGGGAAGCGAAGGUGGGGGAGGAAGGUGGGGAUGACGCCAAGUCAGCAUGGCCCUCUGAUACCCUGGGCUACACACGUGUUACAAUGCCGAUUACAACGGGACGCAAUAUCGCAAGAUGGAGCAAACCCUUAUAAAAAUCGGCCCAGUUCGGAUAGAAGUCUGCAACUCGACUUCUUGAAGCCGGAAUCGCUAGUAAUCGCAGGUCAGCUAUACUGCGGUGAAUACGUUCUCAAGUCUUGUACUCACCGCCCGUCAACC